rnacentral:rRNA from 1 species
UACGAAGGGGGCUAGCGUUGCUCGGAAUCACUGGGCGUAAAGCGCACGUAGGCGGCUUUUUAAGUCAGGGGUGAAAUCCUGGAGCUCAACUCCAGAACUGCCUUUGAUACUGAGAGCUUGAGUCCGGGAGAGGUGAGUGGAACUGCGAGUGUAGAGGUGAAAUUCGUAGAUAUUCGCAAGAACACCAGUGGCGAAGGCGGCUCACUGGCCCGGUACUGACGCUGAGGUGCGAAAGCGUGGGGAGCAAACA